GAGUUUGAUCAUGGCUCAGGACGAACGCUGGCGGCGUGGAUUAGGCAUGCAAGUCGAACGCGAACGGAGACCUUCGGGUUUCUUAGUAGAGUGGCGAACGGGUGAGUAACGCGUAGGUAAUCUACCUUCAAAUGGGGGAUAGCCCAGGGAAACCUGGAUUAAUACCGCAUGUGACCCUUCGGGGUUAAAGAUGGCCUCUGUUUCAAGCUGUUGUUUGAAGAUGAGCCUGCGUCCUAUUAGCUAGUUGGUAGGGUAAAAGCGUACCAAGGCGAUGAUAGGUAGGCGGCUUUAACGAGUGGUCGCCCACACUGGGAUUGAGAUACGGCCCAGACUCCUACGGGAGGCAGCAGUCGAGAAUAGUCUACAAUGGGAGAAAUCCUGAUAGUGCGACGCCGCGUGAACGAAGAAGCAUUUCGGUGUGUAAAGUUCUUUUCUAUGUGAGCAAGUUUGUUUAGGUGAACAGCUUAAGCUAAUCGAUAUUAGCAUAGGAAUAAGCCACGGCUAACUCCGUGCCAGCAGCCGCGGUAC
rnacentral:rRNA from 1 species